rnacentral:lncRNA from 1 species
GAGAGAAGAACCACUGAGAAUUCGUGUGGUCCCAGAUAUACAGCAGGUUCCAUUGGCCCCAUACUCCUGAACCUUCUACAUUAGUCGUCCUUGGAGAUCAUCACCUUCCUUCUCACCCACUCACUUAUGAGAACAAGGGAAGUUCGUGCAGCAUGGAAGACGGAUCCAGGAGAGGAGAAGCAGCCACGACUGCAGAGAGUAAAUGUGCACUUCCAUGUCGACUGUGCACGUGUGCACAAACGGGAACAAGAACCUAGACACACAGACGUGUGUCCAAGCAG